GGGUUGUGUUUACCGAAGCGACUAGGUCGCCCUUUAUGUCUAAGAAAUGAGAUUUCAUAUUGAUGCAUGUUGACAUAUAAGGUGAAAUGCUAGAGGAAUGCAUUUGACGUAAUAUAAGAAUGUGAAAAGAAUGAAUGUUAAUAUUAUAAGAACAUCAUAAAAGGAAUGUAUGACGACAUGUUGUAGAAUAUGCUAAAAGUAAUGCAUAACGAAUUAAGUGCUAAAAGAAUGCAUGAGAUGCUAAGUAUGGACUAUUUUGGAUAAUGACUAUAUGUAUGUUGACAUAUCAUGUGAUGCUAGUGGUAUAUGUGCAUGAUGAUAUAUUAUGAAUUUACAUAUUGUGGAUUAUGUUAAUUAGAAAAACAUACUUGAUGACAUAUUGCCAUGUUGUGGAACAUAGUGGACAGUCUAUAUAUAUAUUAGAUCGAGUGGCAUUAAACCUAGCAUCUUGAACCUAGCAAACACUUGUGGUGAUUGAUCAUGUAUAUUCUGGUGUCAUUCAUGUAUGUUAGGACCCUAUUAUUGUGUAAAUGUGAGAGUUGGACUUGAACAUUAGUAAACAAGGGUGACAAUGACAAUAGAGACAUGAUUGGCAUCAAGAAAGUGAUUGUUAAACAUAGUUUAACCAUAUUGACAUUGGUCCAAGUUGACAUAGAGAGUGGCAUGAUUAAAUAGGUAGAGACCUAUCAUGACAUUGGCAUUGUGACG
rnacentral:lncRNA from 1 species